UUCAGUGGCAGGUACAAACCUAAAUACCCUCAAUCAUGUCUGAUCUUGGAAGCUAAAUAAGGUUGGCCCUGGUUAGUAUUUGGAUGGGAGACUGCCAACUAAUGCCAGGUGCUGUAGGCU
rnacentral:rRNA from 1 species